rfam:Stegodyphus mimosarum contig104744, whole genome shotgun sequence.
GCCUUCGUGGUGUAGUGAUCAGCACGCUCGACGCGUAACCGAGAGGUCCGUGGUUCGAUUCCCGGCGAAGGCG